AGCGAACGCUGGCGGUAUGCUUAACACAUGCAAGUCGCACGGGCAGCAAUUUCAGUGGCGGACGGGUGAGUAACGCGUAGGAACGUGUCCUGAGGUGGGGGACAAUCUCGGGAAACUGGGGCUAAUACCGCAUAUGGGCUAAGGCCCAAAGCCGAGAGGCGCCUUUGGAGCGGCCUGCGUCCGAUUAGGUAGUCGGUGGGGUAAAGGCCUACCAAGCCUGCGCUCGGUAGCUGGUCUGAGAGAACGACCAGCCACACUGAGACUGAGCCACGGCCCAGACUCCUACGCGAGGCAGCAGUGGGGAAUAUUGGACAAUGGGCGAAGGCCUGAUCCAGCUAUGCCGCGUGAGUGAAGAUGGUCUUCGAGACGUAAAGCCCUUUCGACGGGGACGGUGAUGACGGUACCCGUAGAAGAAGCCCCGGCUAACUUCGUG
rnacentral:rRNA from 1 species